UGGCUCAGACAGUAAAGCAUCUGCCUGCAAUGCAGGAGACCCAGGUUCAAUCCCUGG
rnacentral:tRNA from 1 species